GAUGAACGCUGGCGGCGUGCCUAACACAUGCAAGUCGAGCGGAAAGGCCCUGCUUUUGCUGGUCUCUCGAGUGGCGCGCGCGUGUGUAACACACGAGUAUCCCGCCCCUGUCUUUCUGAUAUCUUCAGGGGACUGCGGCUAAUACCGCAUAGGAGCUCCUGCAGCAUGGUGGUCGUUGGAAAGUUUCGGCUGUGGUGGAUCGACUCGCGGCUUAUCAGCUUGUUGGUGUAGUAGGGGCUUACCAAGGCUUCGACGGCUAGCCGGCCUGGGAGGGGGAACGGGCACAAUGGGACUAAGGUACGGCGCAGUCGCCUACGGGAGGCAGCAGUGGGAAGUAUUGCACAGUGGGGGGGAGCCUGAUACAACGGCGCCGCGUGCGGGAUGACGGCCUUCGGGUUAUAAACCGCUUUCGCCUGAGACGAAGCGGGAGUGACGGUAAUGGGUAAAGAAGCACCGGCUAACUACGUG
rnacentral:rRNA from 1 species